GAUUGAACGCUGGCGGUAUGCUUAACACAUGCAAGUCGAACGGAAACGAUACUAGCUUGCUAGUAGGCGUCGAGUGGCGGACGGGUGAGUAACGCGUAGGAAUCUGCCUGAUAGUGGGGGAUAGCCCGAAGAAAUUCGGAUUAAUACCGCAUAAUCUAUUCGUAGUAAAGUGGGGGACUUUCGAGCCUCACGCUAUCAGAUGAGCCUGCGUAAGAUUAGCUUGUUGGUAGGGUAAAAGCCUACCAAGGCGACGAUCUUUAGCUGGUCUGAGAGGAUGAUCAGCCACAUCGGGACUGAGACACGGCCCGAACUCCUACGGGAGGCAGCAGUGGGGAAUAUUGGACAAUGGGGGCAACCCUGAUCCAGCAAUACCGCGUGUGUGAAGAAGGCCUGAGGGUUGUAAAGCACUUUCAAUUGUGAAGAAAAGUUAGCGGUUAAUAACCGUUAGCCUUGACGUUAACUUUAGAAGAAGCACCGGCUAACUCCGUGCCAGCAGCCGCGGUAAUACGGAGGGUGCAAGCGUUAAUCGGAAUUACUGGGCGUAAAGCGUGCGUAGGCGGUUUAUUAAGUCAGAUGUGAAAGCCCCGGGCUUAACCUGGGAACUGCAUUUGAAACUGGUCAACUAGAGUAUGGUAGAGGAAAGUGGAAUUUCUGGUGUAGCGGUGAAAUGCGUAGAUAUCAGAAGGAACAUCAAUGGCGAAGGCAGCUUUCUGGACCAAUACUGACGCUGGGGUACGAAAGCGUGGGUAGCAAACAGGAUUAGAUACCCUGGUAGUCCACGCCGUAAACGAUGAUAACUAGCCGUUGGGGGGAUUUACCCUUUAGUGGCGAAGCUAACGCGUUAAGUUAUCCGCCUGGGGAGUACGGCCGCAAGGUUAAAACUCAAAGGAAUUGACGGGGACCCGCACAAGCGGUGGAGCAUGUGGUUUAAUUCGAUGCAACGCGAAGAACCUUACCUGGUCUUGACAUCCUGCGAACUUUCUAGAAAUAGAUUGGUGCCUUCGGGAACGCAGUGACAGGUGCUGCAUGGCUGUCGUCAGCUCGUGUCGUGAGAUGUUGGGUUAAGUCCCGUAACGAGCGCAACCCCUAUCCUUAUUUGCCAGCACAUCAUGGUGGGAACUAUAAGGAGACUGCCGGUGAUAAACCGGAGGAAGGCGGGGACGACGUCAAGUCAUCAUGGCCCUUACGACCAGGGCUACACACGUGCUACAAUGGGAAGGACAAAGAGCCGCGAAGCCGCGAGGUGUAGCUAAUCUCAUAAACCUUUUCGUAGUCCGGAUUGGAGUCUGCAACUCGACUCCAUGAAGUCGGAAUCGCUAGUAAUCGUAGAUCAGAAUGCUACGGUGAAUACGUUCCCGGGUCUUGUACACACCGCCCGUCAAGG
rnacentral:rRNA from 1 species